AGGCAGCCACCUGCAAGCCAGGGAGAGAGCCCUCACCAGGAACAGACCCUUCUGGACCUUUGAUCUGGAACUUCUAACCUCUGAAACUCUUGGAACAGCGAGAUGUAAAAAUCCUGAGUCUUCAUAGCCAGCUCCUGCCGAAGAGAGAGGGCCUGGCAGCUGAGCUGGAUGCUUCAGGAGCAGAGGAUCUAUCAACUGCAGACCAAGCAUAGGGAGACGCAGGCAGACCUGGAACAGAAACCCAGCAGCUCCAGCGGCUCCAACAGCACUUGGUGGCCGGACGGUCAGCCGCAGGAAGCGUGCCAGGGGCCAUGAGGCAGGGAAUGACCCAAUCCUUGAGGUCUGAUGGAGAAAGCAAAGGCCCAGCUUGGAGAGGCACCUACUUUCUGAAAUGAAGAUACCUACUUUCAAGCCCAGGCUUUCAGAGAGG